rnacentral:rRNA from 1 species
AGCAGUGGGGAAUAUUGCGCAAUGGGGGAAACCCUGACGCAGCGACGCCGCGUGUAGGAAGAAGGCUUUCGGGUCGUAAACUACUGUCAGGAGGGAAGAAACUGUUUAGGUCGAAUAGGCCUAUUCACUGACGGUACCUCCAGAGGAAGCACCGGCUAACUCCGUGCCAGCAGCCGCGGUAAUACGGAGGGUGCGAGCGUUAAUCGGAAUCACUGGGCGUAAAGCGUGCGUAGGCGGCGCAGCAAGUCAGACGUGAAAGCCCUCGGCUCAACCGAGGAAUUGCGUUUGAAACUGCUGUGCUUGAGUCUCGGAGAGGUUGGCGGAAUUCCAGGUGUAGGAGUGAAAUCCGUAGAUAUCUGGAGGAACACCGGUGGCGAAGGCGGCCAACUGGACGAGUACUGACGCUGAGGUACGAAAGCGUGGGGAGCAAACAGGAUUAGAUACCCUGGUAGUCCACGCCGUAAACGAUGGAUAUUAGGUGUCGGGGGUAACCCUUCGGUGCCGCAGUUAACGCGUAAA